UAGUCUUGUGUACAAAAUGAGGGUUAAGGCAAAACAUCAGUGAAUUCAAAAGGUCCACAAAUGUUUCAAAAAAUCAAAAAUCAUUUCAUAUUACUGUAGGUGUGGCUUCUCCUAAGUUGGAGCUGUAAGAUGAAUCAGGGAUAAUGUACAUGCAAAAGUUUUGGCUGAUGACAGUAGAGAUUAGAUGAUACAAAAGAGUCAUUUGCGGCACUCUUUUUACACAAGCAUAUGUAUAUUACAGCAACAGAAUGGAACUACUCCACCACCUCUUUAGUUUGAACAGGAUUGUGCUCACUACUUGAAUGUGGUUGCUGCACCUGGGCUCUGUCAUUACAUUCAAGCUCCUUUAGAUCAGCUACAGCCCUCUCCAGUGCAUAUAAAGCCAUCUUCUUCACCUCCAACUUGUCCUCUUUAGCCCUGUGUUUUUGGGGAAGCAUACGAAAUUCCUUGGUCAAGCGAAUGCACUCGCCCACAUUUUCAGGUGAAACAAAAUCGAGAGCAACCUUUAUACAAGACUUCAGAUUUCUAACUUGAUGGGGACACCCAGCAGGAAUGAGAACUGCUUCUCCAAGUUUUUGCACAAACGUCCAAGGUUCAAUGCCAAAAUCUUGCUUGAGUUUCUCCUUGUGAUACGUGGUUAAGUAGAAAACUUGAUCAUGAAUUGGGUGAACAACCUGGUCCACCGGAGAACCAAGUGUAUGCUUGAAUUCCUUCUGAUGCUCUUUAAGAUAAUCCUCGAGCUUGGGAACAUCCUGUCUCCUAAAGAUAUCCCAGACUGCACCACCAUUUUCUUCCUCUGGUCCAUCAAACUUGUUUUCAAGAUCAACCACCUGAUCAGAAGAUAAACUGCCCUCCAAUUGCACAUUCUCGUCAGAGGAAAAAACAUCACUGGCUUUUUCUUGUUUUGCAGAUGCAAAAUCAUUCUUACGAACUAGAUGAUCAUCUGUAUCAGUAUUAUUUAGUUCUUUUUGAUCAUCUGAAGCAGAAGCUUUCUUUUUCUUCAGCUCAUCAAUUUUUGAA
rnacentral:misc_RNA from 1 species